rnacentral:rRNA from 1 species
GUCGCCCGUUAACGGUGUCGGGACCUGUGGCGCAUGGGUCGAGACAGUCGUUCGUUUCGUCUCGCGUAGUUCGGAGUUCCCUCGAUCGGGGCCGCCCGCGGCGGGUGCCAGGCCCAUUCGGUGCGAACGGCGAACGACGGUCUUCGAUCCGAGAGUCGGGUUGCUUGGGAACGCAGCCCAAAUCGGGUGGUAAGCUCCAUCCAAGGCUAAAUACCGGGACGAGUCCGAUAGUCGACAAGUACCGUGAGGGAAAGUUGAAAAGAACUUUGGAGAGAGAGUUCAAGAGAACGUGAAACCGCCCAGGGGUAAACGGGUGGGACCGUUCACCGCGAUCGCGGGGGGACUCAGUCCGGUGCAUCUUCUUCCCCUGAGGGGGCCGGGGGCGUGCCGUCGCUCUCGUGCGGGACCGCUUCCUUCGGGGUGCGGUCGCGUGCUGCUGCGCGGCUUCGCCUGUCUUUUACCGGCCGGCAUCGGACGCACUUCCUCUCCGGUCCGUCGUCGCGACCCGUUCCCGGCGCGCGGGAUGACGCGGGGUGUCCGCAGGCCGUUGCUGCUUCGGCGUUCUCCUCUUAACGAGGGGUCGUCGUGCCUUCGGCCGGGCCCGCCGAACCGUACCGUCUUCUGCCGGGGACGGAGGAAUCUAUACUUGACGCAGCGAAUCGGGACCGACCGCCGCUUCGUCUAACGACGGAGCGGCGCCGCGUUCUCGACGCGGCCGCCUCGCGGAUCGUCCGACGAACCGCGGGGAUGUCUUCGAGCCGUCCGCUGCCACGGGUCCGCGACGUGCAUCGGCAACCCACCCGACCCGUCUUGAAACACGGACCGAGGAGUCCUGGCCGUUCGCGAGUCGCAGGGGCUCACGAACCCCGAAGGCGCAGCGAAAGCGAGAGAGUGCGACGUCGGCUGCCGUUCCAUCGGUCGGCCUUCUUUCCCUUUUCCUCGGCUCUUCGUCCUUCUUCUUUUUCUUCUUCUAGGAGGAGGAGUUGGAGAGGGCGGCGGGUGUCUGGGGGGUCGGGAUCGGUCGAUCGGGUCGGUAGACGCGCCGCGCCCGCCGGUGGGAUCCCGCGGCCCGAUUCAGGGUCUGAGCCGCGGGCGCACCACCCCCGGGUCGGCCGGAGUACGACUCUGCCGACUCAGGCGUAGCGAGCGGCCGGGGACCCGAAAGAUGGCGAUCCACGCCCGGUCGGGACGAAGCCAGAGGAAACUCUGGUGGAAGUCCGAAGCGCCUCUGACGUGCAAAUCGAUCGUCGGAACCGGGUGUAGGGGCGAAAGACCAAUCGAGCCGUCUAGUAGCUGGUUCCCUCCGAAGUUUCCCUCAGGAUAGCUGGCGCUCGUACGAGCAAUUCCAUCCGGUAAAGCGAACGAUUGGAGGCCCCGGGGACGUUCACGUCCUCGACCUACUCUCGAACUCGGAACGGGUGGAACGGGCCGACUCUCCCGAAACACGGAGUCGGUCGAUAACACGGUCGAAUGUGAGUGCCAAGUGGGCCACUUUUGGUAAGCAGAACUGGCGCUGUGGGAUGAACCAAACGUCCGGCUAAGGUGCCUAACGCGACGCCCAUGAGAUCCCCGAAAGGGUGUCGGUCGAUAUAGACAGCAGGACGGUGGCCACGGAAGUCGGAAUCCGCUAAGGAGUGUGUAACAACUCACCUGCCGAAUCGACCGGCCCCGAAAAUGGAUGGCGCUGGAGCGACGGACCGAUGCCGGACCGUCGCGGCGAGGAGCGAUUCGUUCGCGACGAAUCGAUGCCGCGACGAGUAGGAGGGCGCCGCGGCGAGCACGGAAGCCCGAGGCGCGAGCCUGGGUGGAGCCGACCGCGGGUGCAGAUCUCGGUGGUAGUAGCAAAUAUUCGAACGAGACCUUCGAAGACCGAAGUGGAGAAGGGUUCCGUGCCAACGGCGGUCGAGCACGGGUCAGUCGGUCCUAAGACGCGGGCGAGAGCCUGUCCGAAAGGCGCCGGAUCCGUUACGCUUCGUUUCUUUUUUCAAUCGAAAACAAAAAACAACACAACGGCCGGCCUCCCGUCGAAAGGGAAUCGGGUUAAUAUUCCCGAACCCGAACUCGGAGAGGGUCCGGUGGGGUGCGGUCGUGUUCGCUUCGCGGCGGAUGCGUCGUGCCUCCCGGGCGAAACCGCAGCGACGCAAGCGAGCCCGGAGACGUCGCCGGGAGCCCCGGGAAGAGUUCUCUCUUCUUCGUAAAGGACCAAGUCCGUGGAAUCGGCUCGUCCGGAGAUACGGAAAAGGUACCUGUAGAGCGCCGCGGCACGGGCGGCGUCCGGUGCGCUUUCGGCGGCCCUGGAAAAUCCGGGUCCGGUUUUCGCAGCUCUCGAGUCGG